rnacentral:rRNA from 1 species
GACGAACGCUGGCGGCGUGCUUAACACAUGCAAGUCGAACGGUAAGGCCCUUCGGGGUACACGAGUGGCGAACGGGUGAGUAACACGUGGGUGAUCUGCCCUGCACUUCGGGAUAAGCCUGGGAAACUGGGUCUAAUACCGGAUAGGACCACUGCCUGCAUGGGUGGUGGUGGAAAGCUUUUGCGGUGUGGGAUGGGCCCGCGGCCUAUCAGCUUGUUGGUGGGGUGAUGGCCUACCAAGGCGACGACGGGUAGCCGGCCUGAGAGGGUGACCGGCCACACUGGGACUGAGAUACGGCCCAGACGCCUACGGGAGGCAACAGUGGGGAAUAUUGCACAAUGGGCGCAAGCCUGAUGCAGCGACGCCGCGUGAGGGAUGACGGCCUUCGGGUCGUAAACCUCUUUUAGUAGGGAAGAAGCGAAAGUGACGGUACCUGCAGAAAAAGCACCGGCUAACUACGAGCCAGCCGCCGCCGCCG